rnacentral:rRNA from 2 species
AGCAUGUGGUUUAAUUCGAAGCAACGCGAAGAACCUUACCAGGGCUUGACAUGCCGCUGACCGGUGCAGAGAUGCAUCUUUACCCUUCGGGGUACAGCGGACACAGGUGGUGCAUGGUUGUCGUCAGCUCGUGUCGUGAGAUGUUGGGUUAAGUCCCGCAACGAGCGCAACCCUUGUCUUUAGUUGCCAUCAUUAAGUUGGGCACUCUAAAGAGACUGCCGAUGACAAAUCGGAGGAAGGUGGGGAUGACGUCAAAUCAUCAUGCCCUUUAUGUCCUGGGCUACACACGUGCUACAAUGGUCGGUACAACGAGAAGCAAGUCAGCGAUGGCAAGCAAAUCUCUAAAAGCCGAUCCCAGUUCGGAUUGCAGGCUGCAACUCGCCUGCAUGAAGUCGGAGUUGCUAGUAAUCGCGGAUCAGAAUGCCGCGGUGAAUGCGUUCCCGGGUCUU